rnacentral:rRNA from 1 species
GAUGAACGCUAGCGGCAGGCUUAACACAUGCAAGUCGAGGGGUAUAGAAAGCUUGCUUUCUAGAGACCGGCAAACGGGUGCGGAACACGUACACAACCUACCUUUAUCAGGGGGAUAGCCUUCGGAAACGGAGAUUAAUACCCCAUAGUAUUAUGGAGUGGCAUCAUUUUAUAAUUAAAGAAUUUCGGAUAGAGAUGGGUGUGCGUAAGAUUAGCUAGUUGGUGAGGUAAAGGCUCACCAAGGCAACGAUCUUUAGCUGAUGUGAGAGCAUGAUCAGCCCCACGGGCACUGAGACACGGGCCCGACUCCUACGGGAGGCAGCAGUGAGGAAUAUUGGUCAAUGGACGGAAGUCUGAACCAGCCAUGCCGCGUGAAGGAUGAAGGCGUUCUGCGUUGUAAACUUCUUUUAUUUAGGAAGAAACCACUUUUUUUUAAGAGUGUUGACGGUAUUAAAUGAAUAAGCACCGGCUAACUCCGUGCCAGCCGCCGCGGUAAUAC